rnacentral:rRNA from 1 species
AUGUCCGAACAUCAUCGCAGCCAGCCAUCGCUCCCCAUCAUCGACGGGGACGGGCGGCCAGCCAGCCUUGUCGUCGUCCGCGGUGCCGGUGCGAGAACCACCAACCAACAACUCUGGCCUUUUGUACCAGGUUUCAAACACCGUGAUGUGAUUUUUCUUCAAGGCACCUGUGAUGGUUUCAUCAUCGUCACCGGGAGAUUGAGACGUCAAUUCUACAUCUGCAAUCCAGUCCUUCGCCAGCAUGCUCUCCUACCGCAGCCUCCAUUUGGCCCACUCAUCCAGAACUACGUAAUUGGUUUCUACAUGCACUGUCCAACUAAAGAAUACAGGGUGCUCUGGGUCUCGAAAGGCGUUUUUGAAUUCAGUUUAUACGUCCUCAUAGUUGGAUCUGACAAGCCGAGGCACAUCAGAGUCAGAAUGCCAACAGUCUCCUCGGUUUCCAUGGAAUGGAAGUUACUGGAGAUGCUGCUCCGUUCAGCGCCAGUUCAGCACCAGGGCAAUCUUUAUUGGCGUCCUCCUUACCCUUAUGAUGCCACGCAGAUUACAGGAGAUGGUGAAGACAUUAUUGUAUUUGACACAGAAGUUGAAUCAUUCCGAUGGAUGCCUAGUCCGGCCCAACCGAAUCAUUCCGAUACGUACCAUGCUGGACAGUUGUUCGACUUGAAGGGGGUGCUUGCUUUCUCGGGAUUUUUGUUCAAAAACAACACCACUCUGGAUGUCUGGAUGAUGCAGGAUUAUGAGGCCGAAAUUUGGACCUUUAAGUACCGGAUUGACCUAACGAAGGUGGAGGCAUCACAAAAAUUGAAAUUAACUUCUCUCAAAAGGAAGAGUAUGUCACCACUUGAUACAGUGAUGGUACGGUUCAAUGAAAUGGCUGUGCUCAACGAGCAUGAACUUUUGAUCCAGUUUAAUCAUAAACACGUGUUACACUGCGAUAUUGAUGGCAAGUUCUUAGGAAUGGUAAAGAUUGGAAAGAGACAAUAUCGAAUGGCUCUUACUGGUUAUUGCCUCCAAGAGAGCAUAAUUCCAAUUCCGUCUCAUGAGAUGCUACAAGAAGACCAGGACCCUCCGUUCUUCACAAGCCAUGGCUGA